GGAGAGGUGGCAGAGUGGUCGAUUGCGUCCGACUUGAAAUCGGAUGUGCCGAAAGGUACCGUGGGUUCAAAUCCCACCCUCUCCG
rfam:Prochlorothrix hollandica PCC 9006 = CALT 1027 contig_10, whole genome shotgun sequence.